rnacentral:rRNA from 3 species
GGGUUGUGAGGUUAAGCGACUAAGCGUACACGGUGGAUGCCCUGGCAGUCAGAGGCGAUGAAGGACGUGCUAAUCUGCGAAAAGCGUCGGUAAGGUGAUAUGAACCGUUAUAACCGGCGAUGUCCGAAUGGGGAAACCCAGUGUGAUUCGUCACACUAUCGUUAACUGAAUACAUAGGUUAACGAGGCGAACCGGGGGAACUGAAACAUCUAAGUACCCCGAGGAAAAGAAAUCAACCGAGAUUCCCCCAGUAGCGGCGAGCGAACGGGGAGCAGCCCAGAGUCUGAAUCAGCUUGUGUGUUAGUGGAACGGUCUGGAAAGUCCGACGGUACAGGGUGAUAGUCCCGUACACCAAAAUGCACAGGUUGUGAACUCGAAGAGUAGGGCGGGACACGUGGUAUCCUGUCUGAAUAUGGGGGGACCAUCCUCCAAGGCUAAAUACUCCUGACUGACCGAUAGUGAACCAGUACCGUGAGGGAAAGGCGAAAAGAACCCCGGCGAGGGGAGUGAAAAAGAACCUGAAACCGUGUACGUACAAGCAGUGGGAGCACCUUCGGGUGUGACUGCGUACCUUUUGUAUAAUGGGUCAGCGACUUAUAUUCUGUAGCAAGGUUAACCGUAUAGGGGAGCCGCAGGGAAACCGAGUCUUAACUGGGCGUUAAGUUGCAGGGUAUAGACCCGAAACCCGGUGAUCUAGCCAUGGGCAGGUUGAAGGUUGGGUAACACUAACUGGAGGACCGAACCGACUAAUGUUGAAAAAUUAGCGGAUGACUUGUGGCUGGGGGUGAAAGGCCAAUCAAACCGGGAGAUAGCUGGUUCUCCCCGAAAGCUAUUUAGGUAGCGCCUCGUGAACUCAUCUUCGGGGGUAGAGCACUGUUUCGGCUAGGGGGUCAUCCCGACUUACCAACCCGAUGCAAACUACGAAUACCGAAGAAUGUUAUCACGGGAGACACACGGCGGGUGCUAACGUCCGUCGUGAAGAGGGAAACAACCCAGACCGCCAGCUAAGGUCCCAAAGUCAUGGUUAAGUGGGAAACGAUGUGGGAAGGCACAGACAGCCAGGAUGUUGGCUUAGAAGCAGCCAUCAUUUAAAGAAAGCGUAAUAGCUCACUGGUCGAGUCGGCCUGCGCGGAAGAUGUAACGGGGCUAAACCAUGCACCGAAGCUGCGGCAGCGACACUAUGUGUUGUUGGGUAGGGGAGCGUUCUGUAAGCCUGCGAAGGUGUGCUGUGAGGCAUGCUGGAGGUAUCAGAAGUGCGAAUGCUGACAUAAGUAACGAUAAAGCGGGUGAAAAGCCCGCUCGCCGGAAGACCAAGGGUUCCUGUCCAACGUUAAUCGGGGCAGGGUGAGUCGACCCCUAAGGCGAGGCCGAAAGGCGUAGUCGAUGGGAAACAGGUUAAUAUUCCUGUACUUGGUGUUACUGCGAAGGGGGGACGGAGAAGGCUAUGUUAGCCGGGCGACGGUUGUCCCGGUUUAAGCAUGUAGGCUGAUUGUCCAGGCAAAUCCGGAUAAUCAAGGCUGAGGUGUGAUGACGAGGCACUACGGUGCUGAAGUAACAAAUGCCCUGCUUCCAGGAAAAGCCUCUAAGCAUCAGGUAACAUCAAAUCGUACCCCAAACCGACACAGGUGGUCAGGUAGAGAAUACCAAGGCGCUUGAGAGAACUCGGGUGAAGGAACUAGGCAAAAUGGUGCCGUAACUUCGGGAGAAGGCACGCUGGUGUGUAGGUGAAGUCCCUGCGGAUGGAGCUGAGACCAGUCGAAGAUACCAGCUGGCUGCAACUGUUUAUUAAAAACACAGCACUGUGCAAACACGAAAGUGGACGUAUACGGUGUGACGCCUGCCCGGUGCCGGAAGGUUAAUUGAUGGGGUUAUCCGUAAGGAGAAGCUCUUGAUCGAAGCCCCGGUAAACGGCGGCCGUAACUAUAACGGUCCUAAGGUAGCGAAAUUCCUUGUCGGGUAAGUUCCGACCUGCACGAAUGGCGUAAUGAUGGCCAGGCUGUCUCCACCCGAGACUCAGUGAAAUUGAACUCGCUGUGAAGAUGCAGUGUACCCGCGGCAAGACGGAAAGACCCCGUGAACCUUUACUAUAGCUUGACACUGAACAUUGAGCCUUGAUGUGUAGGAUAGGUGGGAGGCUUUGAAGCGUGGACGCCAGUCUGCGUGGAGCCAACCUUGAAAUACCACCCUUUAAUGUUUGAUGUUCUAACGUUGGCCCCUUACCGGGGUUGCGGACAGUGUCUGGUGGGUAGUUUGACUGGGGCGGUCUCCUCCCAAAGCGUAACGGAGGAGCACGAAGGUUAGCUAAUCCUGGUCGGACAUCAGGAGGUUAGUGCAAUGGCAUAAGCUAGCUUGACUGCGAGCGUGACGGCGCGAGCAGGUGCGAAAGCAGGUCAUAGUGAUCCGGUGGUUCUGAAUGGAAGGGCCAUCGCUCAACGGAUAAAAGGUACUCCGGGGAUAACAGGCUGAUACCGCCCAAGAGUUCAUAUCGACGGCGGUGUUUGGCACCUCGAUGUCGGCUCAUCACAUCCUGGGGCUGAAGUAGGUCCCAAGGGUAUGGCUGUUCGCCAUUUAAAGUGGUACGCGAGCUGGGUUUAGAACGUCGUGAGACAGUUCGGUCCCUAUCUGCCGUGGGCGCUGGAGAAUUGAGGGGGGCUGCUCCUAGUACGAGAGGACCGGAGUGGACGCAUCACUGGUGUUCGGGUUGUCAUGCCAAUGGCACUGCCCGGUAGCUAAAUGCGGAAGAGAUAAGUGCUGAAAGCAUCUAAGCACGAAACUUGCCCCGAGAUGAGUUCUCCCUGAGACUUUAAGUCUCCUGAAGGAACGUUGAAGACGACGACGUUGAUAGGCCGGGUGUGUAAGCGCAGCGAUGCGUUGAGCUAACCGGUACUAAUGAACCGUGAGGCUUAACCUUACAACGCCGAAG